UCUAUCUAUCUAUCUGUCUAUCUAUCUAUCUAUAUCUUUAUCUCUAUCUCAUCUAUAUCUAUAUAUAUAGAUGGUAAAUCCCACACCGGUUCUAAAAAAAAAAAAAAAAGGCAGCAGCCAGGACAGAAAAUCUCAUCAAUUUUUCAUUCAUGUCUAUUUUUUCAUGUUCCUACAGACAAAAAAAAGUCAUGUUCCAUGGCAGGAACUUCUGCAAAAUGGAAGAGAUUGCAGGAUGCCACCCUAAAGUUGAGGCUUGUGAAUGGUCCCAAUCAUUGGUCAUUUUACAUGGGUGCCAUCAUGCUGACCUUGGUCCUGUGGCUGCAGGUAGGGCUGCUGCUUGGGACAACAAAGGACUGUCUAUGGCUUGGGGGAUCAGUGUGGUUCUUUCUCCCUUCAGUGUAAAUUAGGGAUGUGUCCAUGGCCAGUGAGGAGGUGAAGGAGGCUGGAGGAAGGAGGGAGGAAUGGGAGGGAGCAGAGCAGAGUAUGGAGGAAGACAGGGGGUAAGACACACAGGAGGGAAGAAACUAAGAAGGAAACUAAUCAAGUGAGUAAUUGAAAAUUACUGUAAUUUUCUUUUGAAGAGAAUAAAAGUAAACUCACCCUCUGUGCAAUUAGCAAGGAAACACGUUAACAGUUAUCACAGCUGUGUGGGAAAGGGAGGUGAAAUAGAAAGGUAAAGAGAAUAGUGAUGAAAUUUGGUAAUUUUUUUCACCAUCCUAGCUUCCCCUAGACUAGAAGGUGAUAUUUCUGUCUCGUGAUUGUCAGGUUUGAGUCAUGAUCUGAACUGAAGAGCUGGCAACACAGCAAUUCCUAGUUAGGGCUAGAAAGACACAUUUUUUUCCUUUAGUUUGAGGAGAUAAAGAUCGAGAAGACACAUGGGACAUGUCCCCAGAAGCCUAAGUAAUCUUGUGGAAAUGUUUAGCAGCUUUGUCUAAAUUUCUCCUGCAAAAUUGAAAUUUGAACAUCCCGUCUCACACAAAAGUAAAGCAAUAAAUCCAGGUUUUCUUGCUGUGUUUUAACUAGGUUUCUGUAUGCCAGGUGAGAGACACAGAAGGGAAUGAGCUCAGAGGAGCUCUCUGACAUGUUCCCAGCAAAUCUCAGUCUCUGGAUCCCAAAACCUGAAAGCUCAUCACCCGUUUUACAGUUUAGAACUGACGUCCAAGCUUCAAUCCAAGAACAUGUAUUUGGCACCAGCCCUGGACAGCUCUCCUCCACGUGUUGUGAGCUUUUUGUGUAUCCCUUCUGGGGAGUCCUCCCACAGUAUGGAAGCCAGACACCUGUUCCUUUGUGCUUCAGCCUGGAGGCCAGGCUGUGUUCCCUCACCUGGAGGGACAAAGUCCUUCAGCAGCUCAGGUGUGUCUUUCCUGCCUGGAUAUUUUGUACUCAGGUGCUGGCCAUUAGGAAAUCUUUCUGUGAUGCAAAUUUUGUCUUUGGGAUUUUUGAUGUUCAGAAUGAAGCAAGCCAUGGCUAAGAGGUAUGGAAUUGUUGCUGAAUUUAUUCUUAGUAUCUAGUCUAAACCUACUCUUUUUUAGUUUAAAUUAAUUAAGAUGCCCCUGUAGCACAUGCUGCUCUGCCUGCCAAGGAUGGAGAAAAAGUAAGUUCAUGACUCACCUUACCAGGAAGGCCUGCUCCAUCGCAGGCAAUUGACAGAAGAUUUAUACCUCAUAAAUAUGUUUUUUUUCUCCACUCUGUUUUACAAAAUACCACUUGGUUGUGUACAACUGCAUGGAUUUUCAGGUUGGGCUUGUGGAGAGGCUAAAAGAAGAGCUCACUAGAUUCCUGCUGGUGCAUGUUUUGCUGGCCCUCCCUAUAUCACAGGGUUUUUAUGGUAUUUGGGAAAAAAAUACAUCUGUGUAUCUAGUUGUCAUCAUGUCAUUCACUCACUUGCUCUGGAGCUGUUCUCAUUCAUGCCAAACUUUCUUUAGUGAAGCUGUCUGCAAGUUCUUUGUCCUUGGUCUCUUGCUCACUGCUGUGUCUGUGACAGGAAGGGCUGUCCCUCAGCUUGGCUUCUCCAGCUUGGGCAGCCACCCUUGACCUGCAGUGAGCCUUCAUGGGAUGGUUCCUCUAAUUUAAAAUAAAAUAAAAAUAUGCGAGUUCACAAUGCUUCCACCUCAUCAGCAUGAAGCAUCAACUAUGGCAACAGUGCUGCAUUACUAAUGAACUUUGGGGAAGAUGUUUUUGGUUUUUUUUAAGCUAUUCACUUUGAAAGACACUGUGGCUCUUUGAAAGCUGCUGACAUUUUGAAAUGUUAACGAUGGUCACAAUGGAAGAUAGAUUAGCAAGCGAAGACAAAUAUGCCCAGAGGGCCAGUAAACUAUAUUUAUUACAUAGUUCUAGUUACAACUUUUUACCUGUUAGCUUGUUUUAGGAUAUUACAGAUAACUUCCUAUAUUCUUCCACUUUUUGUUCUUUUGGGCUUCUCAGGCAACAGAAAGUGCAUGCCCACUGUAUGCAGACAAACUGAUUGAGGCUGUGUUGUAUUUCUGUUUUAAAGCUGUGUUUUCUUCUGCCCAAAAUGUGGGUGUUUUAUUUUGUUGCACCUGAGCAGUAAAGUAACCUCCCCCAGGAGUGCAAACCUGCCUUUCUAGAAAAGUUGAUUUUUCUUUACCAGGGUGUUGAAAUCAAACUGGGAAAUGUUCCUGGAAAGGUUAUGGUUCCAUGGCUUUCAGAAAUGUAUGAAUGUAAUAACUCAAUUAAGGGCUUGAGAAGAGACCACAUCUUACAAGAUGUAGAAAACUUCACUGUCACUAGACAGUACCCUCAACUGGUGAUAGUUUACUUAUAAGUCUGUUUCCUCAGAAUACCUUCUCCAGGAAUGUAACUGGUUACUCUGCAUUGCUCUCAGCAAGACAGAUGCCCAUCUGAGAGAUGAAUCAUCUCAUUUUGCUUUCAGGAUUUUGAUUUAUGCACCAUUGGAGAUACUGUGGAGAAUGGCAACAGCUUUACUCCUAGGGAGCAGACUGAAUUGUGUACCACCCCUCUUUUAUUUUGUUAAAAACAAAAUCCUCAUCUGAUUUUUAGAUUAAUAUAAGAAUUAUUCUGCUUUUUUUCUUCUGUGAAUGCAAAUGUCUUCCUUGUCAGUUCUCUGUUUUGCUCUCCAUGGUGUAUUUCACCGGCCUGACCUGUGCUUUGCUGCUCCUGGGCUAAGCAGAGAUGCAGUUCAAAGUCUGGUGAAGAGCUCUUUCCACUCAUGCUUGUCAAAUUGAAAUUCAUUUUUGGAAUGCUGAACUCAAGAACUUUGGCAUUUUCUUUCUUGGUUUUUUUUUGCUAGUUCAAAAUGAGUCAUCUCCUGCCAUUUAACGAUCACAAAGAAUUAAGGCAGUUGUCUUUUAGGGAGCUUCAGUACAGUAUGAAAAAUGCAGAGAACAGAAGGGCGGCUCUCCUCACCCUCAAACUGCAGUACUGUGCUUGGACAACUGGCUUUUCCCUGAGUCUGGUCACUGGGGCACCAGCUGUUAUUUCAGAAAGUACAUGGAAGUGUCUAAGAAAAGCAAUUUUCCUGUCAGCGAGCUUUGUGUCCUACAGGAAUCUGGAGCCUGUGGAAAAUUUUUAGGGACCAGCAGAUAGGAAAACAUUGGACUCAGAGGAACUCUUUGGAAGAAGGAGCAUUACCACGUGCCUUCCUGUGCACAUAUGUGGCUGAUCUCCCUCCCAGAGGCAGUGGAGGCAAAAGAGUUUCAGUGGAGAUAUCUUGCAUCAUCUUGUGGAAACCAUGAAGAAAAUGUGAUGGAGAUGAAAACACCUAUGGAAGUAUCUGGAAUACCCUUUAUUUAAGAUGUCCCAUGCCCUGAGCAGGGAAUAUUUCC